rnacentral:rRNA from 1 species
GUGCCAGCCGCCGCGGUAAUACGUAGGUGGCAAGCGUUAUCCGGAUUUAUUGGGCGUAAAGCGAGCGCAGGCGGUUACUUAAGUCUGAUGUGAAAGCCUUCGGCUUAACCGAAGAAGUGCAUCGGAAACUGGGUGACUUGAGUGCAGAAGAGGACAGUGGAACUCCAUGUGUAGCGGUGGAAUGCGUAGAUAUAUGGAAGAACACCAGUGGCGAAGGCGGCUGUCUGGUCUGCAACUGACGCUGAGGCUCGAAAGCAUGGGUAGCGAACAGGAUUAGAUACCCUGGUAGUCCAUGCCGUAAACGAUGAGUGCUAGGUGUUGGAGGGUUUCCGCCCUUCAGUGCCGGAGCUAACGCAUUAAGCACUCCGCCUGGGGAGUACGACCGCAAGGUUGAAACUCAAAUGAAUUGACGGG